GACUGGGAUAACAGAGGGAAACUUCUGAUAAUACUGGAUAAGUUAGUAUAUCGCAUGAUAUGCAAAUGAAAGCUACGGCACUAAAGGAGAGCUUUGCGUCCUAUUAGCUAGUUGGUAAGGUAAGAGCUUACCAAGGCGAUGAUAGGUAGCCGGCCUGAGAGGGUGGACGGCCACAAGGGGACUGAGAUACGGCCCUUACUCCUACGGGAGGCAGCAGCG
rnacentral:rRNA from 1 species